GGAGAGGUGCCUGAGAGGCCGAAAGGGGCACACUGCUAAUGUGUUUUCUGGGUAAAACCGGAACGAGGGUUCGAAUCCCUCCUUCUCCGCAA
rnacentral:tRNA from 1 species